CUCAAUCACUCACAGUAAACGGAAUUUCUACAGAAAGAAAAAUACUUUAAACUAUUGCUCCAUUGUUUUACUGUAAACGAAUUUACUACAGAACAGGACUAUAUCUUUAAACGUUUCCCUCAAAAUAGUGUAUAUCAUUUUUAAUAAAGAAGAUGACUUCACAACAUGACCUCCGAGACUGCAGGGACGAAGAAAAGAAGAUGACUUCACAACAUGACAUCUGAGACUGCAAUGACGAAAUGAGUGUCCUCACUUCAGCAGUAGAAGCCAAUACACAAUAAUAGUUUCCAGCAGCUUACCUUAUCUGCUUCAAUGCAUUGAAUGCAUUCACAGUUUCAACACGCUUUACAACUCAAGAACAUCAUGGGCACAAGAAAACCUGGGUAGCAGAGCAAUGAGUAUGUCCCAGGAGCAUUUGCAGUCAUCUUCUCCAGAUUAUGAGAUCCCCAUGCUCCACAAUCCUCAGUUCAUAGACAUGCAGUGCGAACCUUGGACGUCCCUUGACGAAAUCAAACCAGAAAAUCAGAAGGACAGCCUGUUGCUACCGUUGUUAUCAUAUUAACCCCAUACAGAAGAAGCUCAGAGAUAUAAAUGCUGUUUAAGAUGUGCUAGUCUUUACAUACCCCGUGUCUGGUGUGAACAUGGACAAUUGAAGGUCUCUUCAUACCCCAUGUCUGGUGUGAACAUGUACAAUUGGAGGUCUCUACAUACCCCAUGUCUGGUGUGAACAUGUACAAUUGAAGGUCUCUACAUACCCCAUGUCUGAUGUGAACAUGUAUAAUUGAAGGUCUCUUCAUACCCCAUGUCAGGUGUGAACAUGUUGAAGGUCUCUACAUCCCCCAUGUCUGGUGUGAACAUGUUGAAGGUCUCUACAUCCCCCAUGUCUUGUGUGAACAUGUACAAUUGAAGGUGUCUACUUACCUCAUGUCUGGUGGGAACAUGUACAAUUGAAGGUCUCUACAUACCCCAUGUCUGGUGUGAACAUGUACAAUUGAAGGUCUCUACAUACCCCAUGUCUGGUGAAAACAUGCACAAUUGAAGGUCUCUACUUACCUCAUGUCUGGUGUGAACAUGUACAAUUGAAGGUCUCUGCAUACCCCAUGUCUGGUGUGAACAUGUACAAUUGAAGGUCUCUACAUACCCCAUGUCUGGUGUGAACAUGUACAAUUGAAUGUCUCAUCUUUGAAAUUGGGACACGUGGAAAAUUAGUGACUUGAUUCAGACAGAAAUCGCAUAAUGACAAAUCACAACAAAAAAUGGAAAGCCAGAAAGUCUUGUGGCCAGCAAUGUUUUUAUGUGACCAUCCAAGUUGUGUUCAAAGAAAAACAAUAGUUCAUGUUUUAUUGGAACUAUGAUGCUGUCAGUCAUUUUAUGUUGAAGGCUUUAAAUAACUAUAUUUGAAUAUAAUAAGAUUAAGAUUACUUGAUAAAAGCAAUAAUGUAAAAUAGUAUUUUAAGGGCAAAAUUAACAAGUCUUUCCAAUUACUGUGUCUGUAUUAUGACAUUUUAUUUUGGAAAUGUUAAGGAAAAUAUAAUGUUAGUAAAUAUAUGUCUAUGAAUGUUGAUUUUAACAUUUGUCAAAACUGUUUAAAUGAUGCUGGUAACUUUGACAAAAUUUAAUGAAAUGUAUUAUUUUCAUGUAAUGAGACAUGCUUCA